rnacentral:rRNA from 1 species
AUUGAACGCUGGCGGCAUGCCUUACACAUGCAAGUCGAACGGCAGCACGGGUGCUUGCACCUGGUGGCGAGUGGCGAACGGGUGAGUAAUACAUCGGAACAUGUCCUGUAGUGGGGGAUAGCCCGGCGAAAGCCGGAUUAAUACCGCAUACGAUCCACGGAUGAAAGCGGGGGACCUUCGGGCCUCGCGCUAUAGGGUUGGCCGAUGGCUGAUUAGCUAGUUGGUGGGGUAAAGGCCUACCAAGGCGACGAUCAGUAGCUGGUCUGAGAGGACGACCAGCCACACUGGGACUGAGACACGGCCCAGACUCCUACGGGAGGCAGCAGUGGGGAAUUUUGGACAAUGGGAGAAAGCCUGAUCCAGCAAUGCCGCGUGUGUGAAGAAGGCCUUCGGGUUGUAAAGCACUUUUGUCCGGAAAGAAAUCCUUGACUCUAAUACAGUCGGGGGAUGACGGUACCGGAAGAAUAAGCACCGGCUAACUACGUG